rnacentral:snRNA from 1 species
CCCGGCGGUACUGCAAUACCGGGCCAACCCGCGACAGAGGUGGAGCAAGCCCCUAGCACUCCGUCAUGAGCCAAAAAUGAGUUUAAUAUUCUGGUCCUGCGAUGCGGGACGUAUCACAUAUUAAGCUGAUAAGAACAGAUACUACACUUUGAUCUUAGCCAUAAGGCCGAGAAGCGAUA